rnacentral:rRNA from 1 species
UUUAUGGAGAGUUUGAUCCUGGCUCAGGAUGAACGCUGGCGGCGUGCCUAAUACAUGCAAGUCGAGCGAACGGACGAGAAGCUUGCUUCUCUGAUGUUAGCGGCGGACGGGUGAGUAACACGUGGAUAACCUACCUAUAAGACUGGGAUAACUUCGGGAAACCGGAGCUAAUACCGGAUAAUAUUUUGAACCGCAUGGUUCAAAAGUGAAAGACGGUCUUGCUGUCACUUAUAGAUGGAUCCGCGCUGCAUUAGCUAGUUGGUAAGGUAACGGCUUACCAAGGCAACGAUGCAUAGCCGACCUGAGAGGGUGAUCGGCCACACUGGAACUGAGACACGGUCCAGACUCCUACGGGAGGCAGCAGUAGGGAAUCUUCCGCAAUGGGCGAAAGCCUGACGGAGCAACGCCGCGUGAGUGAUGAAGGUCUUCGGAUCGUAAAACUCUGUUAUUAGGGAAGAACAUAUGUGUAAGUAACUGUGCACAUCUUGACGGUACCUAAUCAGAAAGCCACGGCUAACUACGUGCCAGCAGCCGCGGUAAUACGUAGGUGGCAAGCGUUAUCCGGAAUUAUUGGGCGUAAAGCGCGCGUAGGCGGUUUUUUAAGUCUGAUGUGAAAGCCCACGGCUCAACCGUGGAGGGUCAUUGGAAACUGGAAAACUUGAGUGCAGAAGAGGAAAGUGGAAUUCCAUGUGUAGCGGUGAAAUGCGCAGAGAUAUGGAGGAACACCAGUGGCGAAGGCGACUUUCUGGUCUGUAACUGACGCUGAUGUGCGAAAGCGUGGGGAUCAAACAGGAUUAGAUACCCUGGUAGUCCACGCCGUAAACGAUGAGUGCUAAGUGUU